rnacentral:rRNA from 1 species
ACUCAAAUGAAUUGACGGGGGCCCGCACAAGCGGUGGAGUAUGUGGUUUAAUUCGAUGCAACGCGAAGAACCUUACCUACUCUUGACAUGGUGCGAAGGUUAUAGAGAUAUGACUGUGCCGAAAGGAACGCACACACAGGUGCUGCAUGGCUGUCGUCAGCUCGUGUCGUGAGAUGUUGUCUUAAGUGACGCAACGAGCGCAACCCUUGCCUUUAGUUACCAUCAUUUAGUUGGGGACUCUAGAGGGACUGCUGAUCACUGAUCAGAGGAAGGGGGGGAUGACGUCAAGUCAUCAUGGCCCUUACGAGUAGGGCUACACACGUACUACAAUGGUCGAUACAGAGGGAAGCGAUACCGCGAGGUGGAGCAAAUCCCAGAAAGCCGAUCGUAGUCCGGAUUGAAGUCUGCAACUCGACUUCAUGAAGCCGGAAUCGCUAGUAAUCGCAGAUCAGAAUGCUGCGGUGAAUACGUUCCCGGGCCUUGUACACACCGCCCGU